rnacentral:rRNA from 1 species
GAUGAACGCUGGCGGCGUGCCUAACACAUGCAAGUCGAGCGAUGAAGUUUCCUUCGGGAAACGGAUUAGCGGCGGACGGGUGAGUAACACGUGGGCAACCUGCCUUGUAGAGGGGAAUAGCCUUCCGAAAGGAAGAUUAAUACCGCAUAAUAUUACCGAGUGGCAUCACAUGGUAAUCAAAGGAGCAAUCCGCUACAAGAUGGGCCCGGGUCGCAUUAGUUAGUUGGUGGGGUAAUGGCCUACCAAGACGACGAUGCGUAGCCGACCUGAGAGGGUGAUCGGCCACAUUGGGACUGAGACACGGCCCAGACUCCUACGGGAGGCAGCAGUGGGGAAUAUUGCACAAUGGAGGAAACUCUGAUGCAGCAACGCCGCGUGAGCGAUGAAGGUCUUCGGAUCGUAAAGCUCUGCCUUUAGGGAUGAUAAUGACAGUACCUAAGGAGGAAGCCACGGCUAACUACGUGCCAGCCGCCGCCGUAACAC